GAAGGAUGAGCUUGAUAUUGUGAUACCUACAAUCAGAAAUCUUGAUUUUUUGGAGAUGUGGAGACCCUUUUUCCAGCCAUAUCAUCUCAUCAUUGUUCAAGAUGGUGACCCUUCAAAGACCAUUAAUGUCCCUGAAGGAUUUGAUUAUGAGCUUUAUAAUCGUGAUGAUAUUAACAGGAUUCUUGGACCAAAAGCUUCUUGUAUAUCUUUUAAGGACUCUGCUUGUAGGUGC
rnacentral:misc_RNA from 1 species